GCGUGAGUGAUGAAGGCCUUAGGGUUGUAAAGCUCUUUCGCACGUGACGAUGAUGACGGUAACGUGAGAAGAAGCCCCGGCUAACUUCGUGCCAGCAGCCGCGGUAAUACGAAGGGGGCUAGCGUUGUUCGGAAUUACUGGGCGUAAAGGGCGCGUAGGCGGCCCUGUUAGUCAGGCGUGAAAGCCCCGGGCUCAACCUGGGAACUGCGCUUGAUACUGCAGGGCUUGAGUUCCGGAGAGGAUGGUGGAAUUCCCAGUGUAGAGGUGAAAUUCGU
rnacentral:rRNA from 1 species